rnacentral:lncRNA from 1 species
AGAACGCUACCAGCACUAUAAAGGUAUUGCUAAAAACUGUCUUGAAAAUAAAUGUUCGGCUAAAAUCAAACCGAUUCAAAAUGAUGUCUUUACAAUGACAGAAAGUUAUUUUCCGGUUCUUUCAGAAAAAAGCACAGAACAAUUAAGUUCACAGAAACGUAGAAGUAAUGAACAAUUAGAAGGUGAACGGCAGAAGUCACGAAAAAAACUGUCAAACUCAAUAAAAGAAUGUGAAAACGAGGCAGAGUGUAACCAACAAUAAUGUUUUGGUGUAAUCAACAAUGUUUUUAUUCAACCAAUUCUUUUUAUUCUGUAUAUUUU